UGGCAUUUCAGGUUACAUUUCCUUCAUCACCGUUUCGCAGAAAUUCAUAUCUGAAUAUUGUCGAUCGUCUACCUCUCCCCACUUAGUAUAUGAGUUUUGCCCUAUGUGCGUAAUAUCUGUCAAUUUACCUCACGAAUUGAUUUGUAACUGAACACGUUCACCAUUGCUGAUCAGGAGAGCUAGAAACUUUACCACUUUAUUAGAAAAGCAAGGCCGUAGAAGUUUCCCUUUUCGUUUUAUUCUUUUUCUUCACUCAGGGAAGCCUCUGAUUAUUUGGCACCUCUCCAGACAAAACCAUACCCUUUCAUUGACACAAGUUCACAGAGCUCUGAAGAGUCUCUACCAGAAGCAGGUCUCCCACCAAACAUCAGUCUUAGAGUUACUAAACUGCCACCAUUUUGUAACAUGCAGUGGUCUGAACACUUUCGCCAUUGCUUUACUUGCGUGAUCAAGAGAGAUACUUUACCACAUCACUAGAUAAGCUAGCUUACUAGCAAGGCAGUAGAAGUUCUCUAUAUACUGUACCCUACACUGGUCUUCUGUUCUUUAUAUUAGUUCCAUUGUCCUUUUGAGGGAACAUUCAACAGAGCUACAGUCCUGGCACAAAGUGUUAGACAAAUCAGCUAUAGUAGGAGCUGAUGGAGCCAUUUUCUGUCGACUUCUGAAGUGAAGAAAUUAAAGCACCGCGAAUGGACUUCUCCAGUGAAGAAAAGUGAUUUUCACACUAUGGGACCUAAGACCAUCAAUUCUGGUCAGGUGAUGAAUCUUGUGGGAAAGGGAUCACCGUCAGCUGUGACCAUUGAGUAGGUUACUCUGACCCCUUCCUGGAAUUUAAUGGCUAUACGUACUCGGAUCAUGUUCAGAUCACAUCCUGUACGUUAUAGACCAAGGACCAUCAAACUUGGUCAGUUGAUACAUCCUGUAACAGCUUGUAACAACAUUGUCUUUGUUUGUAAGGCUCAUUAUUACAACUAUAUUUUAAACGAACUUUGCAUUAAUUCCAUUUUUGAUGACCGUACUAUACUCCAACUACCCUUUCAAAUGAUGAAAUUCUUCAAAACCAUGUUUCAGUUUUGACACAUUUAAUAUCCCAGUCUAUGGGUCGGAUGAAUAUGAGUUACCGUACCUAUACUGGAUUCCUAAACUACAUAAAAACCCUUUACAAACAUAGAUACAUUGCUGGAUCCAGUAAGUGCUCUACCAAGCCCCUAUCUUUGCUCCUCACGAAAAUGUUAACAGCUGUGAAGGAGAAACUUCAAACUUACUGUGCGACUACAUAUGCCAGAAGUGGUGUAAAUCAAAUAUGGAUUCUAAACAAUUCUAAAGAACUUUUAGUUAACUUUAAAUAGCAAAACUUUUCUCAAAUCAACAACAUCAAAAUGUAUGACUAUUCAACACUUUACACGACCAUUCCUAAUGGUAAAUUAAAGACUAGACCUUUUGACAUCAUAGACAGUUGUUUCUUCAACAAAAAUGGUCUAUCUUGUGAUCAUGACUGCAGUCAUCAGAAAAAUUAUUUUGUUAAACACCACUCUGAUUCCAUGCACAAGUACUCAGAAGUUUAAAUGAAAAAUAUGCUAGAGAUCCUCAUUGGCAAUAUCUUCAUGGUCUUUGGGGAUUAGGUCUUCCAACAGUCUGUUGAAAUUCCCAUGGGCAUGAAUUGUGCUCCUUUGUUAGCUGAUUGACCUGUUUUUGUAUUCAUAUGAGGCAGAAUUUAUUCAAAAACUUCUUCAUGAGAAGAAAAAUUCUCUUGCUAUGGCUUUCAGUUCGACAUUUAGAUAUAUUGAUGACGUUUUAUCUAUUAACAAUAAAAACUUUCAUUCAUAUAUCGAUUCAAUAUAUCCCUGUGAACUCGAAAUAAAAGACACCACAGGGUCGUCCACUUCUGCUUCAUUCUUAGAUAUUUUAUUGAAAGUAGAUAUUAACAGCAAACUAACAACUCAACUUUAUGACAAACGGGAUGAUUUUAGCUUCUCCAUCGUCAACUUCCUGAAUUUAUGUAGCAAUAUUCCAUUAUCACCUGCAUAUGGUGUUUAUAUAUCUCAACUGAUUCGAUACGCAAGAGCUUGUUCUGCAUAUGGUCAGUUUUUAAAUUGAGGCAAGCUACUGACAAACAAGUUGAUGGCAACAUGGGGUUUCAACAGUCUCAUUUAAAGUCAGCAUUUCGCAAAUUCUAUGGUCGUUAUAAUGAUCUAGUUUGCCAGUACAAUGUAUCAUGGGGUCAAAUGCUGUCUGACGAGUUUCAUACCGACUGUUAGACCAAUCUUGGCACACUUAUUUUGACUACGGAUAACUCCAUUUACCUGAUCAAUAUACAUGUAUAUGGCUCACGGUGGGUGUGUCCAGAGGUCCGUGUUUGCCCAACUCUCUAUUUCGUAUUGCUUAUUUGAGUUAUGAGAUUGAUCACUGUUCGUUAUCUUCACCUUUCAUCUUGGGGGAAGUAGUAUCAUGACCCGUCAUUAAGUUACCGUCACUUCAUUUUGGAAUCUUAUGGCUACACAUAUUCAAAUCAUAUCCGGGUCAAAUCUUAAGCACUGUGAGGCCUAGGACCAUCAAACUUUGGUCCCAUGAUGCAGCUUACAGGGACAUUUGUUGUGACCCGAAAUUACAGUAGGUAAAUAGUGACCUAAGUUUAGCAUGUUAUGGCUACUGGUGUACAUGUUUAAAUUGUGCCUGAAUCAUAUCGUUAAUUGGCCUUACCCCUGUAACAGGAAGGGAGAAAAUGCAACAGACCAGACCAGGAUUCAAACCCGGGCCCCCUGAAUCUCUAGUCAGCUAGGUACUCUACUAACUGAAGUAUCUGGCCACAGGCGAUCGACCCGGCUGACCGCUAUACACUCCUCAUUCCUUAAAUGUCUUCACACUUGAAGACAUCAACCCAGAAUCUUUUAAAUCUCUGGCAGGCAUUUUCACCUGUCAGUUCCAGGGGCUUGUCUACGGCACGCACUAAAUGUAACAGGAAGGGAGAAAAUGCAACGGACCAGACUGAGAUUUGAUCCCAGGCCCCCUGAACCUUCAAUCUGGUGCUCUACUAGCUGAGCUAUCUGGCCAUCAGCGAUUGAACCCAGCUAACCACUACACCUCAUUAAACCUGGUCUGCUACAUAUGCUAUAUAGAACAGAAUUAUAGACAACUGUGAAGUCAACUUCUCCUAACACUGUCCUCUCCCUUACUUUAAAAAACAGGGAUACGAGCCUGUACACAAUGCCAAUCCACCAAUAAGUUAAAAUGUAAGUACGGGCUGACCAAGCUAACAGCAGCUUGGAUUUAUUUCUGUUGUUAAAUAUUACGAAAAAAUAUUCAAAUAUUACCGGUCAGAUAUAUAAAGUUACAAACAUCUGCAAAUUGAUAUACUUUGAUGAUUUAUUUUAUAAGAUAUGAAGUUGACGUGUAUGUGUUUUUAUCUUGGAAAUUUCUAGAUUAAGAAAACAUUUUGUUCAUUUGUUUAAGUACAUGUAUCAUUGCUAAUGCUUGUUUUCAAACUAAUCUCAUAUUUUGGGAAUAAGAGAAGGUCUUACAACUUUUCUGUAAGAUAUAUCAUUUUAACGAGAUAUCUAAUUCGUUAUAACGAGAUACCUAAUUCGUUAAAACGAGAUGAUUGAUUCGUUAUAACGAGUUAAUUAUCUCGUUAUAACGAGAUGAUUAACUCGUCAUAACGAGAUAACUUGUUAAAACGAGAUAGUAAACCGUUAUAACGAGUUAGAUUUUUUUUCAUUUUUCAAAAAUUAGCCUAUCCGGCUUUCGUAGUUUUCAUACUUGGUAAAAUCUUAGUAUACCCCUCAAUACUAUGGAAACCGGUGUGUGCCGGUAGAUAGUUAUUAAAUGGGGGUCACCACUUCAUUUACCCGACGGUCAAUACUUACUGAAAUGGAGAUGGCCUCUUGAUUUGAUUUGCGUCCGCCCUUUUAUUUAAUUGGGCAGCUACCACCCAUUAUGUAACCUUAAUCUAGUUGUCGCCACUUGCUGUAACUGGCAGCCACCAAUUUAAAAAUUCUAUUUAGUACUGCUGAGUUAUCAGUAUUUUUUUAAUGUAGAGCUCGGUGUAAUGAUUUAAUGAUAUCUUUAAUUCAACUGAAGAUAUUUGUAACUAUUUACAACGAUUUUGUACAAGGAAUUAAUGCUCCAUCAAUGAGAGCAACAAUUCAAAUAGAGAGAUCCAUCAUUUUAAUCAUGGUUAUUUUGAA